GAUGAACGCUGGCGGCGUGCCUAAUACAUGCAAGUCGAGCGAACAGACGAGGAGCUUGCUCCUCUGACGUUAGCGGCGGACGGGUGAGUAACACGUGGAUAACCUACCUAUAAGACUGGGAUAACUUCGGGAAACCGGAGCUAAUACCGGAUAAUAUAUUGAACCGCAUGGUUCAAUAGUGAAAGACGGUUUUGCUGUCACUUAUAGAUGGAUCCGCGCCGCAUUAGCUAGUUGGUACGGUAACGGCUUACCAAGGCAACGAUGCGUAGCCGACCUGAGAGGGUGAUCGGCCACACUGGAACUGAGACACGGUCCAGACUCCUACGGGAGGCAGCAGUAGGGAAUCUGCCGCAAUGGGCGAAAGCCUGACGGAGCAACGCCGCGUGAGUGAUGAAGGUCUUCGGAUCGUAAAACUCUGUUAUUAGGGAAGAACAAAUGUGUAAGUAACUAUGCACGUCUUGACGGUACCUAAUCAGAAAGCCACGGCUAACUACGUG
rnacentral:rRNA from 1 species